rnacentral:lncRNA from 1 species
UAAAAAAUAACAUUUAUAAAAAACGGAGAAAGGUCUCUAACAAACUUUGUAUACAAGUUUCAAAAAAUAAAUUAAUUCAUACAAUUGAGGGGAUCCUAAAAAAAUCUAUCAUAAAAGAGGAUACUACCUAUCCAUAAUCUAUAAAAAAAAAAUUCCUAUGCCUGUUGCACUUGUCUUCAUCAAUUUUUGUCUAUCACAGUAUAUCAAUAUUCAAUAAAUUUAAAAAUAUCCGUUUAUUUAUAAGAGUUACAUGAGAUGCAAUCGCCUACAUAAUCAUUAAUGUAUAUAUCAAUAUUCAAUAAAUUUAAAAAUAUCCGUUUAUUUAUAAGAGUUACAUGAGAUGCAAUCGCCUACAUAAUCAUUAAUGUCGCCAAUUUAUAUGUAAAAGUAAACAUAUAUAACUAAAUUUUUCCUAUAUCAUGGCUCUGAUCCCAAGAACCAAUCCACUUGUUCCCAAUCCAACAAAGGCUCAUAGUCAACAUUAGUAUCCAUUUGGCUACCUUCUCCAACCUCAUGCGAGGGUUGGCCAUGAUCUACAGAACAAGAGCAUUCUGGUGAGCUAGUUGGACUUAUGUCCAUCAAUACCUGAACAUCAUGAUCGCAUGUUGAAUUCAUCUUGUGCUCUUGAACAUUUUGAACGCAUGGUGUAACCCUCCUUGGUGGUGGUCGUCUAUCAAAUGCCCUUAAACACUUUGAUUUCUUGUACACUCGACUUAAACUAAGUUCUUGCCUUAACUGCAAUUAAGUAAAUAAUCAAUAUCAAAUUUAAAAACAACAUAAAAGAUU